rnacentral:ribozyme from 11 species
GCAGACUCAAAGAAUACAUAAUAAAUAAGACGUAGAAAAAUAAAAAACCAAUGGUAGAUGAUAGCUAGCCCCCUUCCUUGGUUCAACAUACUUUUUAUUUUUUGUAUU